GGUCCGGCCGCCCCAGCGCCCGGCGCGGGAGCGAAGCGGAGCGGGACGCCGAGUCCCGAGCGGCCGGCGGCCGGGGCUCCCCGCCCCUCCCUCCUCUCCGGCGGCGGCGGGCGGAGUGAGCUGCGGAGCCUGGAAUAUGGUCGGGGAAAUGGAAACGAAGGAGAAGCCGAAGCCCACCCCAGAUUACCUGAUGCAGCUGAUGAACGACAAGAAGCUCAUGAGCAGCCUGCCCAACUUCUGCGGGAUCUUCAACCACCUCGAGCGGCUGCUGGACGAAGAAAUUAGCAGAGUACGGAAAGACAUGUACAAUGACACAUUAAAUGGCAGUACAGAGAAAAGGAGUGCAGAGUUGCCUGAUGCUGUGGGACCUAUUGUUCAGUUACAAGAGAAACUUUAUGUGCCUGUAAAAGAAUACCCAGAUUUUAAUUUUGUUGGGAGAAUCCUUGGACCUAGAGGACUAACAGCUAAACAGCUUGAAGCAGAAACAGGAUGUAAAAUAAUGGUCCGAGGCAAAGGCUCAAUGAGGGAUAAAAAGAAGGAGGAGCAAAAUAGAGGCAAGCCCAAUUGGGAGCAUCUCAACGAAGAUUUACAUGUACUGAUCACUGUGGAAGACGCUCAAAACAGAGCAGAGAUCAAACUGAAGAGAGCCGUUGAAGAAGUGAAGAAAUUACUGGUACCUGCAGCAGAGGGAGAAGACAGCCUGAAGAAGAUGCAGCUGAUGGAGCUCGCGAUUCUGAAUGGCACCUACAGAGAUGCCAACAUUAAAUCACCAGCCCUUGCCUUUUCUCUUGCAGCAACAGCCCAGGCUGCUCCAAGGAUUAUUACUGGGCCUGCGCCUGUUCUCCCACCAGCUGCCCUGCGUACUCCUACGCCAGCUGGCCCUACCAUAAUGCCUUUGAUCAGACAAAUACAGACCGCGGUCAUGCCAAACGGAACUCCUCACCCAACUGCUGCAAUAGUUCCUCCAGGGCCAGAAGCUGGUUUAAUCUACACGCCCUAUGAAUACCCCUACACGUUGGCGCCAGCUACGUCAAUCCUUGAGUAUCCUAUUGAACCUAGUGGUGUAUUAGGUAUGGCUUUCCCAACGAAAGGCUAAGAAUUCAAGAACGGUCUUAACUGAACCCUCAUCAGAUCUGAAUUUAACAAAUGCUUAGUCUCAGCAGCCUUCGGGGGUGGGGUGGGAGGAAAGCUUAGCCUAGCAGUCAGUGACUUACUUGCACUUUUUGCACACUGAUAGAAAGUAAAAGUAUGUUAUUAAUUUGGUUUAGUCUGUAAUCUUACAAAGUAACGGUAAUUUUAAAGGAGUGUGUAGUAGUAUACUGACUGCUAAGUGUACUAUACUGUUUGCUUUACUAAUCACCUAAUUCAUUGCAGUUCAUACUUAUUGACUCAAAAGUUUAAAACCACAAUCUGUAGGCUUUAAGAAUUGCUUUUAAACCUUUUUAAGUGAUAAACUCUGGAAGUGUUCUUAAGGUUUAGGAAACAAUUGUCAGUAUUAAACAUGGUAUUAUUUAAGUAGUCCUGCUGCAAGAAGGCACUUCAGUGAAUAUGUGACUAGUAAAGCUUGAAUAUGUUUGGAUCUAAUAGCAUUCAUGAAAUACUGUAACUUGGGAUUGUAAAUGAAUGGAUGAAAUAGGUUAAGGCCAAGAUGUUUGAAAUAAAUGCAAUAUUAAUAGACGCAUAUAUACGCAACAUACUAUGGUUAAUUUUAAAACUACUGUGCCUUAAGGUGUUUUUUAAAACGAAACUUUUGUAGUAAAUUAACAUUUGAAAUCCAUUUUGAUAAACCUGCUGUUAAUGUUUGUUUUCUUUUCCCUUGUGAAUGUUUUCUAACUUUGUCUUGGUAAUUGCAAUUUAACUAGGUGCGGUGGCUACUAAAGUUCGAAGGCACGAUAUGCGUGUCCAUCCUUACCAAAGGAUUGUGACCGCAGACCGAGCCGCCACCGGCAACUAACCUAUGACCUUCUGACCUCUGAACUCUUCACCCAAUGAUGACCUGACCAUGCCUGCCUGCUGAUCAGUUAACUGGUAAUCGCCUUUGCUUGCCUGUCGUCAGUGCAGCGAGCUGAGGCACUUGUCCGUUCGUCUUACCAUCUAACCAAACAAAAGACAAAGAAAUUGUUGUCCUCCAACUCAGCUUUUGGUUCUUUUUUUUUUUCUUUUUUUUUUUUUUCCUGUUUGGGUGAAAGUGGUUCUAGAAACUGCACUGAAUAGUAGUAAAGCAAUAAGGCCCAAUUCAUCCCACAGCACUGGUCAUCUUUUAAAGUCCCACCCUAAGCGAACGGUAAGAAGGCCUCACUUCAGAAGGGGAGACAGAUGGCCCUUAACUACUCAGUGACAGAGGCAGUUACUGUGAGAGACUUGUAGGAAUCUCUUCUUCUCAUAGCGAGUCUAAGCUCUCUGAAUGUACUGUGUGGUGAUGCAUCAUGCAUGAACCUUUGGUCAGGGAUGUCAUUGGUGAAGUGAUUUCAAAAAGUAUUCAAAAUUUGAUACGCUGUUUCGUCUCUACAGUGCCCUCAGAGGGCAGAAGUUGCAGCCUUUUUUAUAUUGCCUGCCAAAAUUUGAAGUAUUAGAAGUGUGCCAUGAGAGAACAACUUAACAAGGAAUUUUGAAAAGUAAUGCAAAGAACAAAACUGCAACACUAUUUUUAAAAAGAGAAAUAUCUGAGUUAAAAUUACUGAACCUUUAUUUUACACCUUAAAAAAAUAUAUGAGAACAAGGUACAUGCAUUAUGUGUCACAUUACUGGGCAAACUGUUCAAAUAUUUUUUUUAAACCUCCCUGUAUAGAAAAAAUCAUUAAGGAUGUAAAAGCCAUGCUUGCCUAUUUGCUGUAUACAUGUAAUGAAAUUGUAGAUAAAAGUGUAGUGCAUUGAAACAAAUGAUCAAAAGUAGAUACUUUUACUAUACAAGGGUGCUGGUGCAGAAAAAAAUAUAUAUAUUUUUGGAAAUGUAGCAUUUUAUACUUUCAAGUGUUAUAAAAAAAAAAGAAAAAGAACAAAGAAACCCUUUAUUUCAUUAAAUGAUUUUUUCUGGUGGUUGUCAAGAAACAAAAGACCAAAAGAGCCUUUUUGUCUUUCUUUUUUAUUUUUUAAGUAUUGGAAUAAGUCUAAAGAAAAGAAAGUGCCUUAUUUUUCUUCAUGGUCAUUUAGUCAAGUGUCUCAUAAGAUCAGCUCCUCCCUCGGAAUACAAGUUCAUACAUGUUAUUCAGUGCCCAGUAUGUGCAAGAAGAUAUGAGGGGAGACAAAUGAGUUGAUGGUUUGAAUUAUAUAAUUUUUGCCACGUUACCUUGAUAUAAAUUUGCCAAAUCUGAUACUGUGAAAUAAUUUGAUAAUUUUUCUAAUGCCUAACAAGUAAGUUUUAAAACAUCAUUCUUUUAAAAUCAUAAUUGAUUGCUUUCAGUUAUUGCAAUAUUUAAUGUUAGCCCAAAGGAUUCUGAGAUAAAAAUUAUGUGUGAUUUGAACAUCAGUUUACAGACAAAAUUAUAACUUUGUUUUAUUCGGAGAAGGGGAUGUAUGUUGGAUUCUAUCUUAUUAAUUGGAAGUUAAUAGUGUACUUAGCAAACAUUUUCACAAAAAGGAAUCUUUGUGAUUUUCAUCCUGGAAAAUAAUGUUUUUUAAAUGACCCAAACUUAAUGAGACUUCUUUCUACCACACUAGAUCACUUGGGUCGUCCAUCUCUGCUGGUCUUAGUAACCAACCUAAGCUGCCCCACCCCACGCACAUUUUUUUUUUUAACUAUAAAAGAAUGUGAAAAACUAGCAUUGUGCAUAUAAACACUCAACUACAUAUGAGUUGAAGCUUCCAAUUUGUCAUGAAAUUCAGUUAGUUUUUGUAGUUGAAGCUAUUUGUGCACAGAGCCUCUAUCUAAACACUUUUAGUGAGUAGUCAUUAACUGCUCAGUACCAGACGUGGCAAAUACCUAGGGCAGUGGGUCCCCAGCUCAUCAACUCGUUCCCUCUUCCAUACCUUCCCAGUCAAAGGUCAGCAGUAAGCUCAGUCAGCACCUUCGUGGUGACCUCCAUCACCUGGUCUCACUUGGAAACCGGUUUCAGUUUAUUUACUAUGCAAUAGACAUUCAUUGCUUUGUAUCGGCUAGCUUUGGUUCCAUGUGCCACUGCUUUGUCUUUCUGUUACACAUACAGUUGUUUUGGUUUAUUUACAAUAUAUGCUGUGCCAUUUUGGUUUUUAUUUUGUUUGGUUGGUGAAUAAAUUUGCGACACUCAAACACUUGAGGUGGUAGUAGUUUAAAAACGAUACCAGUAUUUGAUCCAGUUUCAUCUCAACUAUGUUAUACCUGGACAUUUUAGACGUUUAUCAAAGGUCUUUUAUGGGGAAGAAAGUAAAUGUAUGAAAUACAUGUGUGACAUUUAUGAGUAAUGUUGGCUCUGAACAAACUUUUGAAAACUUAGUUGACACAAUUUUGGAUCAACUGAAAAAAAAAAGCAUGACUUUUGAAAUCUCUGAAUGCCUUGGUUCUCAGUAUUAUCAUUCUUUAUUGAAUUUAUUUCUUAUUAAAAUAUGUAGUUUUUAAGACUUUUUUUGACAGUAUUAUGUAAUUUUUUAGCGUGGGUAGAUGGGAGUGUCGCUUGUAUGUUACCGUACAGCUGACAUGUAUUUUUGUCUAUUCUUUAUUAUCUUAGUAGUUUCAUGCUGUGUAUGUACCAUAACCAACCUAUUGCCUAUGAGAAACAUGUAAGAUAAUGUAUUUACAGCCAUUGUUACAAGUUUAUAAUGUAUUUUUCUAUCUUGUUUUAUAUGUAUGUUAUAUAACAUUCAAAAAGAAUUUUUUUCUUGAUUGAGAAAAGGAUACAAAAUGCAAAAUCCACAAUUUUGAUAUCUGAAAAUUGCCAAUUGUUUUGCAGUACUUUAUUAUAUUGGGUGUCGUGUCUUUCUUGGGCUUUUUAGUUAGCUAAUGAAUGAAUACAUUAGACACUUUUGGGUUUUAGUUGGGAUUUUACAUAGCUUGCAUUUUAAUUCUUUGGUUCUUUGCUGUUUCUAUUAACCCAUGGCAUUAUUUUAAUAAAUGUUAUAAUACCAACCUACUAACUCUGGACUAUGUCUGUUUAUUAACAUUUACGUGUUUAAUUAAAUAAACAAAUAAAGACAAAAGAAUGUAAAGUCUUGAAUUACUGCACUAACCCUGAAGAACGUGACCACAGAUAACAUAGCGUGACGUGUUUUUUUGUUGUUUGUCAGCUGACAAUUCCGCACACUACUGUUAAAAUGGCUUUGGUUAUUCUUUUCCCUUGUGGGGGAGAUGCCGGUAGAGACGGGAACAAAAUAGCUUUGGUUCGAGGCCAUCUUCUUCUAGUCUUGCCACUUGCCUUUCGGCCUCUGCAUUACUAAUUCCACACUUUCUUAUUCUUCCUUCUCCAAAAUAAUCACUGUCUGCUCACAGUAUAAAGAGUACAGAGAUUCGUUGUAACGAAGUCCCCAAGAAACCAGUUUGAUUCUUUGUUGAACCGUUUCUUUUAAUUUCUAUAAGCAGGUAAUGUUAUGGUUACGUUACAAAGCAAAGAAUUUGCUGAGGUUUUGUCUUUUCAGAUUUAUGUUUUAAUUGGACGCAUUUCCUUUACACAGUGUUGAUCUGUUUUAGCCAGCUGUUCCUUUGGGGGCGCUCACCACAGGUGAAGCCAGAGGUGGAGUGGCCCUGUUUCUCACAACAGCCGUUGACCGUGACAAUCCACCCCACGUGACUCUGCCCCAGAUACCAGACAGUCCUCAGGUGUUCUCUCUCUCUCACCUGCUAGAGUGCAGUCAGAAUACACCAUUACUACAGGAAGUUGAAGGGACAAGGAAACUGGCAUUUGGGAAAUGAGAUAGCAUUAAAGUUGCUUGCGUGCAAGUGAGUUUAAGAAGCUUCAUUCGAUAUCUUCAUGCCUUUCUUGCCUGCAGCCUAGGUAAAUUGCUAGGAAUUCUUGCGUUUAACUCUUGAAGUGCGUUUUUAUUUCACAGAUGUUGGUAAUCUCCUUUUCUGUGAAGCAGUUCUGGAUAAUAAAUUCUUAGGGUGAAUUUUUGCAUUUGUAAAUAAUGGCUUAUUUUUGUAAAUUAUGUUUUAUUUAUUUUAAAGUUCUAAAAUUUGGGGCUGAAAUGAGUCGCAUGUCAUAGAAGACAUAGCUAACUGCCUGUACCAAUAUGCUUGUAACCAGUCAUACUGUCCAAGUAUCCCCAUAUUUAUUUAUUCCCAUAGUAUAUGUACAUACGUGAAAUACAUAGGAUAGUGAUAACAGCUGAUUGAAUCGUAAUUGAGAUGGUCAUAUGAAUUGUUUAUCUCGGGGGGUGUUUAUUAUCGGUAGGUAGACAGAGCUUUAAUAUACUACCAUCUGUAAAAAUUCUCAUUGCCAUACAGUUCAUAUAUUAUUCUGUAGGAAUCUGAAGAUGUCUGUCAAGCUGCUAUACACAAGUCAUGGUACCAUGUCACUUAGCUUGAUGAAUUUCUGUGCACUUACUGUACAGUCUCUGACACCUGUGGAUGCAGUCUCGUCUCACUUUCAGUUGAGUGUACUUUAUAAUCAUGUCCUAUUGUCACCUUUUACAUGUGGAAAAGUUGCAAAAUGCCCUUUUUAAAAGGUGAAAAUAACAUUACAAAUCCCAUUUUUAUUCAGUCUGUGAUAGUAUUUAAACAUGAAAUUAACUGAAUUCUUAGAAUGAUAAAAUGCUAGAGUCAGUAUUUUUUACUAUUUAGUAAAACAAUUGAAAGUUAAGCUUUCACUCAAGAAGUUGGUCAGAUUAACGUAGUUAGUAAGUAGUUAAUGCUUUUUUAAUUCUCAGGCAAAGUGUCAAAUAAUGAAGGUCCGAUGAAAGUAGACACUCAACAUCCACCCUCGUGCAGUUGCUUCACGCUCGACAGAGCCCGCCUAAGGGGCCCCCCGUGAAGCCACGCUGUGCGUUGGUGUACACAGCAUAGGUAGGGAGGUCAAGUUUUCUGAGUAAACACUAGAUAAAUAUGAAGGAUCUAAAUUUUCUAGUGCAUCAAAAGCAGACAGUAGGUUUAAAUGAAAUUGUUCAUUACCAAAUCAAGAAUCUUUUUUACCAGCGUAGCCUAACACUUUUAUUAUAUAUGAGAGUUCCUCCUGUCUUGGGGUGGGGAGAGGUGAAGGGCGGGGUUGUUUGCUUGUUUGGGAUGAGAGGUCUGUAUUCCUUGAUAACAGUUACAGUAUUUCCAGUAAGUGAUUUUUAAUAGGAUGAAGAGGAUUGCUAAAUUACAAUCCAUUACUUAAUAGCAAAAAUUACUCAAAACUUUUGGGACUUAAAAACUGUAAGAAGUACAUAAGGUAAUUUUUUAACAUCACAAAUUCCCUAAUACUUUUAUUUAAAGUGGAAAAAUAAUUCAUUUUACAUACAACACUUUUAGAAAUAUUCAUAUGGUACACAUCUAAUUUUAUCUGUGGUUUCUUUAAAAUUAUCUAAAUUGAAAUGUCUUUGUUAUGAAGAGACUUAAAAUUAUAUAAGUACUGGAACUCAAUGCUGAAUCAAACUGGUUCACCUAAGCAUAGAACUCUCCUUUCUGUGUUUCUGCUGCACUAAUACUGGGGACGGGGGAAGGAAGAAUUAACUCAGAGUAGAAGCGAGUGGUGAGUGAAGCAGGUAGCAACUUAACACUGCAUAUGAUUUUGCUGUCUCUUCUUGGCAAAAGACCAUAUUGUGGAACAAAGCUCAGCUCCCAGUGUAAAAAAAAAAAAAAUUCAUCUUUUUAAGAAUGCUAUUAUUGAGCAGUUUGGAUCACCAAAUACAUCUUUUAUGGUUUAUAUUGUGGUGUGUAUCAAACGUUUAGAAUUGUACUUGUAGAAUUUGUAUGUAGAGAGAAAAGUUGGACUAGGUCUUCCCAAGUCACGUGAAUGGAGAGCCCCGUCUGCCUGUGCAUGAAGUGCAAUAAGCCAACCGGAGGAGUGGUGCCCUUCGUCCUUGAGACACCUGCAGCUGCAAACGCUGCGGGUGCCCCCCAAGCCCUCUGUAUAAAUAUCAGAAUAAAUGCACAUUUUUCAUUUUUA